AUUGAACGCUGGCGGCAUGCCUUACACAUGCAAGUCGAACGGCAGCACGGGUGCUUGCACCUGGUGGCGAGUGGCGAACGGGUGAGUAAUACAUCGGAACGUACCUUAUCGUGGGGGAUAACGCAGCGAAAGCUGUGCUAAUACCGCAUACGCCCUGAGGGGGAAAGCGGGGGAUCGCAAGACCUCGCGCGAUUAGAGCGGCCGAUGCCUGAUUAGCUAGUUGGUGGGGUAAAAGCCCACCAAGGCGACGAUCAGUAGCUGGUCUGAGAGGACGAUCAGCCACACUGGGACUGAGACACGGCCCAGACUCCUACGGGAGGCAGCAGUGGGGAAUUUUGGACAAUGGGGGCAACCCUGAUCCAGCAAUGCCGCGUGAGUGGAGAAGGCCUUCGGGUUGUAAAGCUCUUUUGUCAGGGAAGAAACACCGGCUCUAACACAGUCCGGGAAUGACGGUACCUGAAGAAUAAGCACCGGCUAACUACGUGCCAGCAGCCGCGGUAA
rnacentral:rRNA from 1 species